GCUGCUGGGGAUGCUGAGAGUAUGAGAUGGGGCUGAUCACCUGCAGAAGGGAGGACCACACACAUGGUCAAGGAAUGUCACUCCCCAGAGCAGCCGCAGGAAGCCACAGCUCACCAGGAGUUGCCAUGCCCUGGGGCCAUUUCCCAACACUCAGCACCGAUGGCAGACAUGGAGGCUGAAGGAAGUUAUACUCCAAGGGGAUUUGAUAGCACUUUCAGAGAAGAGAAAGGGGAGCAAGAAGGAGGAUGUUCUAAGAGAGGACCACGUAAGUACAUUAAGAGUGCUCCUGACGGGGGCCAAUGAGUGGGCGGUAGCAGUGGGAGGACUUGCUAAUGUUUGAGAAUCGGUGGAACGUGGGUCAGGUGGAAGGGGCAACAGUGAGCUGCUACUCACAACAGGUUUCCGCGACAAACUCUAACAUUUCUAGAGAAAGGUCUGUCAGUGGCAAAGGUUUGGACGAUGAAAGGUUUGGACAAUGAAAGGUUUGGAGGAUGAAAAAGCUGGGAUCAGGAAGAACAGGGAGAAGGAUGUGCCGGAGGUUCCAGGGAGCCAUCUUCGGGAAACAAACAUUUCACUAGAAUUGAGAGGACGUGACCACUAUUUGAUCUGAGAGCAGGACCCAGACAGAGGGUCGUCCCCUCUCUGGAAUGUACUUCUGCCCACUGUUCCCACACUAGCAGCCAUUCCAAGGAUGCAGCCUUGAGAGAGUAAGGUGUUGCCGAGACCAUUUGGACUGAAUAUGUGACUGAAUUUUUCACAUAUAAACUUUUAAGACGUUGAAGGGAGGGUGCAGAGAUUUGCUCAUCCUGCGGCUGUCCAGGACAGGCCUUGUACGUUCUCUUGCUUAUUAAACCUGCCACCUGCCAAUCUGGAGGAGUCUGCCUCUUCCCUCAGUCUGUCCUUUCUCUCUGCGUA